rnacentral:misc_RNA from 1 species
CUCUUCCGCCGUGACCUCGACUCGCGGGGCGGCAUCGGCCUUGUAGCCAUGCUCUUCCGCUGCAACAUCCUCUGCUUGGUAGGCGGUGGUCCCGAUCCCAUUUACCCGAUGACCAAGGUAAUGAUUUGGGACGACCAUCAGUCGCGAUGCAUCGGCGAGCUGUCGUUCCGGUCGGAGGUCAAAAACGUGAAAUUACGGCGGGACAGUAUAGUCGUUGUAUUGCUUCAGAAAAUCUUUGUGUACAAUUUCGCGGACUUGAAGCUGAUGCACCAAAUCGAGACUGUUUUGAACCCAAAAGGGUUGUGUGAGAUAUCUCACACUUCAUCGCCAAUGGUGCUGGUUUGCCCUGGCCUCCAAAAGGGUCAAAUUAGAGUGGAGAAUUAUGGGUCGAAGAGAACCAAGUUUGUUAUGGCACAUGAUUCGAGGAUUGCGUGUAUGACCAUGACUCAAGAUGGUAGAUUGUUGGCUACUGCCAGUAGUAAGGGCACUUUGAUUAGGGUCUUUAAUGCCAUGGACGGGUCGUUGCUGCAGGAGGUUAGGAGAGGUGCUGAUAGAGCUGAAAUAUACAGUCUUGCAUUCUCUUCCAGUGCACAGUGGUUAGCUGUCUCAAGUGAGAAGGGGACUGUCCAUGUAUUUAGCCUCAAGGUUGAUUCAGGGUUGGUGACAUUGGCAAAUGAUAGAUCGCAUGCUGCAGCUGAAGCAAAUUUAGGCAUUUCGUCUCUUUCCAUUUUGAAAGGUGUAUUGCC